rnacentral:rRNA from 1 species
AGUGAACGCUGGCGGUAGGCCUAACACAUGCAAGUCGAACGGCAGCACAGUAAGAGCUUGCUCUUACGGGUGGCGAGUGGCGGACGGGUGAGGAAUACAUCGGAAUCUACUUUUUCGUGGGGGAUAACGUAGGGAAACUUACGCUAAUACCGCAUACGACCUACGGGUGAAAGCAGGGGAUCUUCGGACCUUGCGCGAUUGAAUGAGCCGAUGUCGGAUUAGCUAGUUGGCGGGGUAAAGGCCCACCAAGGCGACGAUCCGUAGCUGGUCUGAGAGGAUGAUCAGCCACACUGGAACUGAGACACGGUCCAGACGCCUACGGGAGGCAGCAGUGGGGAAUAUUGGACAAUGGGCGCAAGCCUGAUCCAGCCAUACCGCGUGGGUGAAGAAGGCCUUCGGGUUGUAAAGACCUUUUGUUGGGAAAGAAAAGCAGCAGGUUAAUACCCCGCUGUUCUGACGGUACCCAAAGAAUAAGCACCGGCUAACUUCGUG